GAGAUUCUUAAAAACAUGUCCCUGAGAAGCCUUGCCUAGGAGAACCUUCUUCUAAGGAGUUUUCAGGAUCUCUGAAAAUGGGUGUCUUAUCAUUGUCUGCAUGCACAGACUGAAAACACUGUCCACUUCACACUGAAGUCAUGAAGAUUAAAUGAGGCAAUGGAUUUGACAUUGGUUCAGAAGACUCCAUUUGCCAGCACACUGUGAAUAAAGCCAUCUCUCUAGGACUGAUUCCCAGUCACUAAGCUCAAAGAAGUCAUAUGGAUGGGUACUCUCCCAUGCAGACAGACAUAAGAACAGAAGUCAAAUCAAAACCAGAAGUCUAUUUGGCGAGUAUGGAAUUAAAAUGAGCAAAAUUAAUUCUUUUAGACAAAUCUUUUAGUCCAGCAAGUACUCAUGAAACCAUACCCACAGCAGAAUUUGUCUUGCCAAUAGAAAUACCACAAUUAAGUGCAUAGACACAAGACUACAAACUUUUAGACAGCUCUAGAUGGGCGCUGCCAAAAUAAGCAGAGGUAUCAAGAGUCAACAGCCAAGGAAAACAGAUAUAUACUUGAUGACGCCAAUAAUGAGAAAUUUGCAAAAAAUAGUAUAACUCAAAAAGGGAGAUAAACACACAGACAGGAAGGCAAAGAUUUGAUUCAUUAAUUCUACAAUGUGGCCUCAACACAAGAAACACCCUUAUUUCAGCACUUAGGCAAAAAAAUCCUUCAAUGAGUCUGCAAUAUUGAUUGCAUGAUCCAGAAGAAAUAUUCUGGUUAUGGUAUACAUGAGAAUGGAAUCUUGAAGAUCUUAGAGUUUAUCAUAUUUGAGUGAAAAUAUGCCACUCAACUUUAAAAAUCCAGAGAGAAUAAAAGGCAUGUUAUGGACAAGUCUAAUUUGCUACAAAAUCUUAUUAUUUUUAUCCAGAUGCAUGAGGUUAUCAUAACAGUAAAAUUGAGAUAUGGAGGGUAAUUGGAAGGUUGCUUACCUGUAACCAAGAAAGUAGAUAGGCCACUUCAACAUCAUUUUUACUUAUUUAUUCAAUAAUUACAGUGACUAUCACUUUUGCAUUUUCAUCUAUUCACUUGUAUGAAUAAGGUAUGGGGCAUUUCUUUUUUUUAAUUUUUUUUUUGCGUUUUAUUUCCCCAAUACAUAAUUUUUUUCCUACUGUACAGCAUCGUGACCCAGUUACACAUACAU
rnacentral:lncRNA from 1 species